rnacentral:rRNA from 1 species
AUUGAACGCUGGCGGCAGGCUUAACACAUGCAAGUCGAGCGGGGUGAUGGUGCUUGCACUAUCACUUAGCGGCGGACGGGUGAGUAAUGCUUAGGAAUCUGCCUAUUAGUGGGGGACAACAUCUCGACAGGGAUGCUAAUACCGCAUACGUCCUACGGGAGAAAGCAGGGGAUCACUUGUGACCUUGCGCUAAUAGAUGAGCCUAAGUCGGAUUAGCUAGUUGGUGGGGUAAAGGCCUACCAAGGCGACGAUCUGUAGCGGGUCUGAGAGGAUGAUCCGCCACACUGGGACUGAGACACGGCCCAGACUCCUACGGGAGGCAGCAGUGGGGAAUAUUGGACAAUGGGGGGAACCCUGAUCCAGCCAUGCCGCGUGUGUGAAGAAGGCCUUAUGGUUGUAAAGCACUUUAAGCGAGGAGGAGGCUCUUUUGGUUAAUACCCAAGAUGAGUGGACGUUACUCGCAGAAUAAGCACCAGCUAACUCUGUGCCAGCAGCCGCGGUAA